rnacentral:rRNA from 1 species
GACGAACGCUGGCGGCGUGCUUAACACAUGCAAGUCGAACGAGUGGCGGACGGGUGAGUAAUGCUUGGGAAUCUAGCUUAUGGAGGGGGAUAACUACGGGAAACUGUCGCUAAUUCCGCGUAACUUAGGAUGAGCCCAAGUGGGAUUAGGUUGUUGGGGUGGUGAAGGCUCACCAAGCCGACGAUCGCUGGCUGGUGUGAGAGGAUGAACAGCCACACGGGGACUAAGACACGGCCCAUACGCCUACGGGAGGCAGCAGAGGGGAAUGUUGGGGAAUUGGCAAAAGCCUGAUCCAACCGUGCCGGGGGUGUGAAGAAGGGCUUGGGGUUGUAAGGCACUUAAAGUUGGUAGGCGUUACCAACAGAAUAAGCACCGGCUAACUUCGUGCCAGCAGCCGCGGUAAUAC